UAAUACGUAGGGAGCAAGCGUUGUCCGGAUUUAUUGGGCGUAAAGAGCUCGUAGGCGGCUUAGCAAGUCAGGUGUGAAACCUCCAGGCUCAACCUGGAGACGCCACUUGAUACUGCUAUGGCUUGAGUUUGGUAGGGGAAGACGGAAUUCCUGGUGUAGCGGUGAAAUGCGCAGAUAUCAGAGAGGAACACCGAUGGCGAAGGCAGUCUUCUGGGCCAAAACUGACGCUGAGGAGCGAAAGCGUGGGGAGCGAACAGGAUUAGAUACCCUGGUAGUCCACGCCGUAAACGUUGGGCACUAGGUGUGGGGGGUAAUCAACGCCCUCCGUGCCGUAGCUAACGCAUUAAGUGCCCCGCCUGGGGAGUACGGUCGCAAGACUA
rnacentral:rRNA from 1 species